UAGCAGACCUAACUUGCCCCCUAGACAUCGGAUUCCCCAGCUCCUCCUUCCCGGAUGAUUUGAUUGAGUGAAAUUGGAAAGCCGUUAGCUAAGGGGAGGGGGAAGGGGGUGUUAAAAUUCUGGAAGGAGAUGAAGGCAGAGGAACCAGAUUCAGUUCCCAGAACCCACAGGAUACUCACAAUCAUCUGCUUUUAACUCCAAUUCCAGGGGAUCUGAUGGCCUCUUUUAACCCUUACAGCUGCUACUGGGUAUGCACAUGGUGCACUUACCUACAGGCAGACAAAACACUCAAACACAUUUGAAAAAUUAAAAAGGAAUGGAAUGACAGUGACAAACAGGACAUUAUUACUAGUGGGUAUCUGGAAGUUACUAUAGUACCUGAUCUUUGAAACUCAGGAGGGGAACAAGUGCUCCAAACUAGAUACAGAAGCCCCAAACCGAAGGGAAAACAUCAGUGUCCUUACUGAAUUCUCAUUCAAACCAACAAGAGCCAUGCACAUGGACUCAUCAAGGGAAUGACCAGACUUGAUAUGGAAUGACACAUUCCUUUGGGAAAGAAAGCUUCAAAGAGCACCCACCGUGUUCUGUCCUCUGGUGACUGUAUGGAUACAGGAGUACAGUUAUCCAUGGAUUCCAGAAAAGGGCUUUGCAUCCUCUGAAGCUGGAGUUACAGGUGCUUUGUGAGUC